UCUGUGUUGACGGCAACUUGAGUUUUGCAAUUUACCGCGCGAACAAUUUCAGUUACCAAGAACAAGAAUUAUUCAAUAAGUCUCUCCACGCACUGCAUGAGAGAGUCGCGUUAAGGACGGCUGAGUCGUUCAUUUGCUCAUUUCAUGUGAUACGGUGAACAGUUCUGGUCGAUUCUUCCAUCAAACAUCAAUCGAGGAGAAAUCGCAUUUUCAACGUUGUGAAUUAAGUAGUCGCGGGUUAUAUAGACUCUAAAAGUUGGUACGACUUCUUAUUAAGAGACCUGCAAAUCUUUACUGAAUUUAUCAGAUCUGUGUGUUGCUAAUUGCUUGUAGAUAAUUAUCCAGAUGCGAUAGUCACAAUUCUUAACACCAUCUCUCUAGUUUGGAAGCGUGCAUUAUUGACUUAAACAAUUAUGGUGAUGCGCUGGAGUGUAGUUGUACUGUUCGUUAUGAUUCUAGUGAUCUCGUGCCUUGCAAAACCUCGUGGAUGCCCGCCAAGGGGAUGCGAUGUCAGGUCACGCCAACGUUGGGGUAAACGUGAUAACACUAAAAGCCUUGGCACAGAAUGGCGAGUGGAUUCGAUGCCUAGUUUGUUUGACAAUGUAGCGAAAGAGACAAAUGGAGCCCGAAAAAUAUCGCCUUGGAUGCGUUCAGUAUUCCAACACACCAACAUAAAGCGACUAAACAGCAACACAGAAAAUAUCGAUUAGAUUCAAGAAAUCUACUUGAGCAACCCACGAAUCACCCUUCUUGAAACUUGCCUGAUUCACUCUUAUCAACCUACAUUACAUUUUAGUUUUUUUAGAAUUUGAAUUAAUAUGCCUAAACUAAUGAAUAUAU